GAUGAACGCUGGCGGCGUGCUAAUACAUGCAAGUCGAGCGAACAGACGAGGAGCUUGCUCCUCUGACGUUAGCGGCGGACGGGUGAGUAACACGUGGAUAACCUACCUAUAAGACUGGGAUAACUUCGGGAAACCGGAGCUAAUACCGGAUAAUAUAUUGAACCGCAUGGUUCAAUAGUGAAAGACGGUUUUGCUGUCACUUAUAGAUGGAUCCGCGCCGCAUUAGCUAGUUGGUAAGGUAACGGCUUACCAAGGCAACGAUGCGUAGCCGACCUGAGAGGGUGAUCGGCCACACUGGAACUGAGACACGGUCCAGACUCCUACGGGAGGCAGCAGUAGGGAAUCUUCCGCAAUGGGCGAAAGCCUGACGGAGCAACGCCGCGUGAGUGAUGAAGGUCUUCGGAUCGUAAAACUCUGUUAUUAGGGAAGAACAAAUGUGUAAGUAACUAUGCACGUCUUGACGGUACCUAAUCAGAAAGCCACGGCUAACUACGUG
rnacentral:rRNA from 1 species